AAAGGGCGUUGGCAAGGCUUUUAUUGUUGCAUUCCGGUCGGGCGCGGUGAUGGGAUUUCUUCUUGCAGCGAAUGGGCUUCUGGUUCUGUAUAUCACCAUUAACCUGUUCAAGAUCUACUACGGUGACGAUUGGGAGGGUCUUUUCGAAGCUAUCACAGGUUAUGGCUUGGGUGGUUCGUCCAUGGCUCUUUUCGGGAGAGUGGGGGGUGGUAUAUAUACAAAGGCAGCCGAUGUUGGUGCAGACCUUGUUGGCAAAGUUGAGAGGAACAUUCCUGAAGAUGACCCUAGAAAUCCAGCUGUGAUUGCCGAUAAUGUUGGUGACAAUGUCGGUGAUAUUGCCGGAAUGGGAUCUGAUCUUUUCGGAUCGUAUGCUGAAUCAUCAUGUGCUGCCCUUGU
rnacentral:misc_RNA from 1 species